rnacentral:rRNA from 1 species
CAAUAGCGUAUAUUUAAGUUGUUGCAGUUAAAAAGCUCGUAGUUGGAUUUCUGCUGAUCGCUGUCGGUCUGCCGUCAGGUGUGUACUGGCAGUGUUUGGCAUCUAUUCGAGAUUGGGUGUCCACUUGAUUGUGUGCACUCGAUGUCGGAGCUAAUACUUUGAGAAAAUUAGAGUGUUCCACGCAGGCGCGUGCCUUGAAUACUGCAGCAUGGGAUAUUGGAAGGUCGAUUGAGCUUUCUUGUUGGUUCUCGGUUUGAUCGGAAUGAUUAAUAGGGAUAGUUGGGGGCAUUCGUAUUCAACUGUCAGAGGUGAAAUUCUUGGAUUUGUUGAAGACGGACUACUGCGAAAGCAUCUGCCAUGGAUGUUCUCAUUG